rnacentral:lncRNA from 1 species
GGCUUGUUUUCCCGGCUAGGCUCUGGAGCGGCGGGCGCGGCGCGAUGCGCGGGUACCCGGGAGCGAACGGCUGCAAGCCCCGAUGAAGCUCGAGCAGCCCCAGCCUGAUGGAGGCGCCUCCGUGGGAGCCGGUGCGCAAUGACUCCCUGCCUCCCACGCUGAGCCCCGCGGUGCCGCCCUACGUGAAGCUCGGCCUCACCGCGGUCUACAACCGUCUUCUACGCGCUCCUCUUCGUGUUCAUCUAUGCGCAGCUCUGGCUGGUGCUGCGCUACCGUCACAAGCGGCUCAGCUACCAGAGCGUCUUCCUCUUCCUUUGCCUCUUCUGGGCCUCGCUGCGUACCGUGCUCUUCUCCUUUUACUUCCGAGACUUCGUGGCAGCCAACUCGUUCAGCCCCUUCGUCUUCUGGCUGCUCUACUGCUUCCCCGUGUGUCUACAGUUCUUCACCCUCACGCUCAUGAACUUGUACUUCACGCAGGUGAUUUUCAAGGCCAAGUCAAAAUAUUCUCCAGAGCUACUCAAAUACCGGUUACCCCUCUACCUGGCCUCACUUUUCAUCAGCCUCGUUUUCCUGUUGGUGAAUCUGACCUGUGCUGUGCUGGUGAAGACGGGAGACUGGGACAGGAAGGUUAUCGUCUCUGUGAGAGUGGCCAUCAAUGACACACUCUUUGUGCUGUGUGCUAUCUCUCUCUCCAUCUGCCUCUACAAAAUCUCCAAGAUGUCCCUGGCGAACAUCUACUUGGAGUCAAAGGGCUCAUCAGUGUGUCAGGUAACUGCCAUUGGUGUCACCGUCAUCUUGCUCUACGCCUCUCGGGCCUGCUACAACCUGUUCAUCUUGUCAUUUUCUCAGAUCAAGAACGUCCAUUCCUUUGAUUAUGACUGGUACAAUGUAUCCGACCAGGCAGAUCUGAAGAGCCAGCUGGGUGAUGCCGGCUACGUAGUGUUUGGCGUGGUGCUUUUCGUGUGGGAGCUCCUACCCACCACCUUGGUGGUUUAUUUCUUUCGAGUCAGAAAUCCCACGAAGGAUCUUACCAAUCCUGGGAUGGUCCCCAGCCAUGGAUUCAGUCCCAGAUCUUACUUCUUUGACAACCCCCGAAGAUAUGACAGUGAUGAUGACCUUGCCUGGAACAUUGCCCCUCAGGGACUUCAGGGAAGGACCUCUCCGAGCCUACCCAGAGAGAGCCAGGGCAUGUGCUGCUCCACUCACUCACUGGAACGUGAUCUGGGACAUCCAGGCAGACCUCUUGGAUCCUCUUCUAAAGCCAGAGAAUAUAUGAACAAUUAUCACUAGAGUGAAUAUAUUAUAAGAACCAAAAAUUGAAAUUUGUCAUUCUUAACCAAUUAUUUCCUAAGAUACUGACAAGUGUCAUCUCGUUCAUUGUUUGCUACAGUCCCGUGAGGUCAGUAUAAUUAAGCUCUCAUGGUUCCAGGUCUGUGGGAGUCCCUUUUCUGGUUUUGCUCCAGACUACUGUGAUUGGGGACAACAAAAUAACAGCUUCCUGGCACAAGCAGGAACUUUGCAUCAAGACUCCACUUUGGAUCCAGACAAAGCAAGCCAAGGGUAGCAGCAGCUGACACAGCCCUAUGGAAGAGUUCUCUGUUGACAGCCUUCAGCCAGACAGACCGGAUGACAGCUGAGUUGCUAAGGCAGUUUUCCUUAGGAAACAGAACUCUAGUUUUUGCUAUAGCUUUCUCAUGGCUCCACAGGGCUAAGCAAUAAUUUAGAGCAAUAAACCCUUUAGUACUAGCAGAGAAUCUGGCUAUUUCAGUGGGUAUAAUUUAAACUUAUAAAAGAGAUUCUGUACUUUUAUAAAGAUGUAUUUUAUAUAACUUAAAUACUAAUGCUAAAGUAUACUAGGUUUUUCCUUGAUUGUUAAUUUGUUAAUUGCAACGUAUGUUGUAGUUUGCACAGACUUUCACGCAGAAUUCACUUUAAAACGUAUAGAAUGCGUGGUCUAAUAGUUUAAAGCUUUGGGAAAACUUUCCACAAAUCUUACCUCUGAAGGUUCCUCUUGUGAGUGCCACGUGGUGGGCUCCUUUCACCGCCACUCAAGCAUUCCAAGUUAAGGGGAAGCAGAGUACCACGGUCUGUACGUAACAGGCUCAGCAGCAGCAAUUUCUCGUAAACUCUGUCCUAAGCCUGGUCCUUCUUCAUCUGAAAGCACUACUACAAGCACUCCAGUAACAAGUGGAUACUGUUAAGAUGUAGUUGCUGACACUAUUAAACCUCCUCUGCUGUGUGUGUA